CGGGACCGCAGGGCAUUCAACAGGCCGGGCAGGGAAUGAAAGGGCUAGAGCAUCCAGUCAAUUUUCAAAAUAAACACCAUGUGGAAACUUCCAAAUCGUAUAUCACAUCGCUUCACUAUUUUAACAACUAAAACACAGCCCCAAAUCUUUGAUCCAUGUAAUUCAUAACUGGACUAAACCAUUUAACU